CUCAGUGGUGUCUCAGUGUGUUUGUGUGUGUGUGAUCCCUGUCUCCGUCCUGAGCGUGCUCUAAUAAUAGAGGAGGCUGUCUGCUCCUUUAAGAGCCAACUUGUUGCAAAAUCUACAAAUAUAAUCAAAGAAAAAUGGUUAUCAAAGUAUUUCUCGCCUCUUCAUCGGGAUCCACCGCGAUCAAGAAGAAGCAACAAGAUGUGGUCGGCUUCCUGGAGGCUCUUAAAGUGGACUACACUGAGCUGGACAUCGCCUGCAACGAGGAGAACCGCAUGUGGAUGAGGCAGAAUGUCCCUUCGGAGAAGAAGCCCACCAAUGGCAUACCCUUGCCCCCUCAGAUCUUCAACGAAGGGAACUACUGCGGGGACUACGACACGUUCUUUGAUGCCAAGGAGGACAAUACAGUGUAUGCCUUCCUCGGGCUGCCCCCUCCCCCUGGGUCUAAGGAAGCAGAACAAGCCGACAAGGCACACAUUGUGGAGAACGGGACCCACGCUGAAGAAACUAAUGCAGAGGGAAACCUUGAUGACUCAAUAGAGGUUCCAGUGGAGGAGCGUAACGGGGAUGCACAUGGAGAGGAGGAGGAAGGUGAGGGUGGCGAGGAGGAGGAGGAGGAGGUAGCAGAGGGAGAGACAGCAGAUGAUGAGGCCACGGAAGGAGACGAGGCCCCUGCAGAGGAGGAUGAGGCAGUGGAAGAAGCAGAUGAGAUCACAGAAGACACAGAGGCACGAGCAGAAGAGGAAGAAGAAGAAGAACAGGAAGAAGCUGAUGAUGACAGGGAGGAAGAGGAUUUGCAGUCAGAGAGCACUCAAGAAACAAAGUGGAUGUGACAAGUUCCGAAGAAGACGGAUGAGGUGGAGCGCUACUUGUUAUUGCGUAACACAAAAAAACAGAUAAAAAUAUCCACGUUACAUCAGAUUAACCACUGAACUUCUGUGUUGUUUAGGUCUGUUGUGGUACUUCGUAGCUUAGAUUGUACGACAGGAUGGAAUCAAGUGAUUCUGGCAUCUAAUUAUAGAUAAUGAUGUUAACUCUCUUUGUCCCUUGGUGAGCGUGUUGUUUACUCCAAGAAGCCAGUCAUCAAACUAACAAGCAGCAGCUUGAGAAUUUAAAACAUCCUAUAUGGUGCACGGUCUUAAGCACCACGCGUGUCUCACUUAGGUCAUAUCAGGAAAAUAAAUCUGCAGGUCGUUAGAUUCCUUAGUUUCUCUUGUCCCCGCUGUCAUUACCCACGGCACUUCUCUCGUGUUACUUCUUGCUCCAUUUUUAACCCGCCCUCACGACAACCACUAACGUGAAGUCCUCUCACUUUCCCGGCAUUUGGAGCAUGGCCUCACGCAACCCUCUUUUUUUUUCUCUUUCUUUUUUCACGCAUCAAAGGAAGAAGAAGAUGCAGAAGAAACACAGGAAGAAGAGGAUGAGUAGUUGAAGCCAGGUGACGUCAGUGACUUAACUGCUAUCCAGCCUGAAGGAGCCUCCUGCUCAGUCUCUCCUUGAUCCCUGAUGCUUGACCUCCUCAGCCCCUUUCUGACAGCCCCUUCAUCCCUCCCCAAGGCCCCACUGGACCCCACUGGAAACUGUUGUUCAUGUGCUAAAAGGCACUAUGCAAACUGAAAAGUCCUAACCCACAUCUGACCCCACCCCUUUCCCUUUUGACUGCAAUGUUGACUUAAUUUUUAUAUUUUGCUCGUAGAGACAUACUAUAAUGAAAAUGUGCAGAGUAGUCUAGUGGUGUCAGUUUGUUGAGUGAUGAGUAGCUUCUGUAAAAUGCAAAACAGUUAUUUUGUUAAACUCAAACACAUUUCUCAUAUUUUACUUUUUGAAAGUCUAGCUUCCUAACACAAAGAGGCAGUGACCUUUUCAGAAGAGCAUUACCUUGGCAUACCUCUUGUGGCCUCUACAUCAGAUUUAAAGGUUGAACUUACUCUUUAGUAAGUGUUCUGUUGUUUUAUCGCAGUUGUUUUACCAAUGUUGUGCCUUGAUGACUUUCUAUCAACUGAAUGUAUAAAUGCAAACUAAGACUUCUAAUAACCAGACAGCAUUAAUGGAAGACAUUAAUAUUCACAUGCCACAAGACUGUAAACUACAACACCACCACUACAAUUACUUCUGCUAAUACUGCUGUCUAAUCAAUGCACUUUGUUGAAUGUAGAGUGAAACGUGACUACGACUUGGAUGUAAUGGAAAAUCCAAUAAAGUAGACUGGUAAAAACAAAACAAAAAAAAA